rnacentral:rRNA from 1 species
UACGUAGGGUGCAAGCGUUGUCCGGAAUUAUUGGGCGUAAAGAGCUCGUAGGCGGUCUGUUGCGUCCGCUGUGAAAACCCGGGGCUUAACCCCUGGCUUGCAGUGGAUACGGACAGACUAGAGGUAGGUAGGGGAGAAUGGAAUUCCCGGUGUAGCGGUGAAAUGCGCAGAUAUCGGGAGGAACACCGGUGGCGAAGGCGGUUCUCUGGGCCUGACCUGACGCUGAGGAGCGAAAGCGUGGGGAGCGAACAGG